AAGAGUAGCUUUCUUCGGCGAUAACACGCCAAGUGGCAUGCAUGUUUACGUCCGCUGUAUACAGCGUAGACAUACACGCGGACAGCUCAAAAUGCAUACAGAUAACACGCCACUUGGCAUAACAAAAUCAGUGUGUACGUUUAC